rnacentral:lncRNA from 1 species
AUGCUCCAGCUGCAGUGGACUACCGUGCAGCCAUUACAGAUGAGUUUUGGGGAAAACAACGACAACAACAACCUGCCCCUUGCCGCCUUCUGUGCUGGAGAUCUUCCUGCACAAAAACACUGGAGAGUCCUGAAACCAGCAGCUGUGGGAGGUUCGGCAGGGGGAGGAGCUGCGAGGCAGGUGCCCUUCCUAAUGAUCCCGGCAGGAGCUCCUGGAGCUGGGGAGACCAGCACUUAGCCCUGACACUGCUAUUUCUGGUGAUCCAGUCCGCUAACGUCCCUGGACUUCACAGAUGUGCAAGCUCUAUGUCCAGCCUUUGUGUAUUAAUUACUCAGGUGGGUUCUGACGAUACAAUGGUGUGCAAGGAUGAAGACAGCUGAGACACAUUAUGUGGGGGUCUGGGUGGCUGGGGGGGGGGGGGGGGGCCGGACAAAAAACCUUCUAUAUUUGAAUGGGUUGGGGGGGGAUACGAACCUUGCCCCGAAAACCCGAGAAGGCUAAAGUAGAAA